rfam:Roseiflexus sp. RS-1, complete genome.
AUUGAGGAAUUUUCGGCUCGCUGAAGAGCACUGAAAC